UGGAGUGACGGCUUUGCUUAGCGUAUUUGAUUGAUUGAGUUCAUGAAUUAGCUCUGUUGAUCGAGUUCAUGAUGCUAGUUUUGGUUAUAUCGAGUUCAUGAUGCUUGAUUGAGAAUUUUAUGCUAGCUCAGUCAAUGGAGUUCAUGAUGCUUGAUUGAGUUCAUUUGGUAGUUUUCGGUUAUAGCAAAUGGUCAAAUAAAACUGAAAAUUGAGAAUUUUAUGCUAGCUCAGUCGAUGGAGUUCAUGAUGCUUGAUUGAGUUCAUUUGCUAGUUCUCGGUUAUAGCAAAUGGUCAAAUAAAACUGAAAAUUGAGAAUUUUAUGGUAGCUCAGUCGACGGAGUUCAUGAUGCUUGAUUGAGUUCAUUUGCUAGUUUUCGGUUAUAGCAAAUGGUCAAAUUAAACUGAAAAUUGAGAAUUUUAUGGUAGCUCAUUCGAUGGAGUUCAUGAUGCUUGAUUGAGUUCAUUUGCUAGUUUUCUUUUAUAGCAAAUGGUCGAAUUAAACUGAAAAUGAUAUAGAUUUGGUCUGUGACUUUAGCAAGUUCCUUGACAUGCAAAAUGAUUUGUCUAACUUUGUCUAGCUUUUGUUUCUUGAUUGAUUUGGUCCGUGAUUUGUCUAACUUAGUUGAUUUGUCUAACUUUUGUUUCUUGUUUGCAGAUGGCGCAACCGCAAGAACUUCAUUUCUUCCAACCUUUGCUUCCUGGAUUCCAGACUUACUUGACAAUACCCAUUGUAUUUUUCUCCAAGCACAUCCAAGGGAAGACGAAUGGGAACACAUGGACACUAACAUCCGACGCUACGGAUCAAACAUGGCAAGUGAUACAAGAAGAGAGGCGACUCACCCGAGGUUGGAAGGAGUUCGCUGAGGCACAUGACCUUCGAAUAGGAGACAUUGUCAUCUUCAAACUCGAAGGUUCCAUGGUCUUUCACGUCACUCCCUUUGGUCCGAGCUGCUGUGACAUCCAGUACACAUCUAUGUUGGUUGUGACUUGAUCUUAAGAGCACAAUGUCUUGUGCUUUGAACUUAUUUUGUGUGUCUUUUAUAUGUUUGCUUUUGGUACUUUGAACUUGUUAUUUUGAUUUGAUGGUACUUUGAACUUGUUAUUUUGGUUUGAUGUUGCAAACUUUUAGUUAAUCAUUUUCAUGUCAAUUAGUUUCGACU